rnacentral:rRNA from 1 species
AGUGAACGCUGGCGGUAGGCCUAACACAUGCCAGUCGAACGGCAGCACAGUAAGAGCUUGCUCUUACGGGUGGCGAGUGGCGGACGGGUGAGGAAUACAUCGGAAUCUACUUUUUCGUGGGGGAUAACGUAGGGAAACUUACGCUAAUACCGCAUACGACCUACGGGUGAAAGCAGGGGAUCUUCGGACCUUGCGCGAUUGAAUGAGCCGAUGUCGGAUUAGCUAGUUGGCGGGGUAAAGGCCCACCAAGGCGACGACCCGUAGCUGGUCUGAGAGGAUGAUCAGCCACACUGGAACUGAGACACGGUCCAGACUCCUACGGGAGGCAGCAGUGGGGAAUAUUGGACAAUGGGCGCAAGCCUGAUCCAGCAAUACCGCGUGGGUGAAGAAGGCCUUCGGGUUGUAAAGCCCUUUUGUUGGGAAAGAAAAGCAGCAGGUUAAUCCCCCGAUGUUCUGACGGUACCCAAAGAAUAAGCAACGGCUAACUUCGUG